GGGAGUAUAACUCAGCCAUAGAGUGCUUGCCUACUAAGUGUGAGGCCCUGGGUUCAAUCCCCAGCACUCCCA
rnacentral:tRNA from 1 species